AUGCUCAAGAGAAAUUUUGGCCCUUUCCUUAAUGACCUAGAAGAAUCUCAGAUGAGGGUCUUUCCCAGGGAAGGAUUGGUACCAGUGAUCAAUGUUCUCCAAGUGACCCAUCUGUAUGGCAGGGAGAGCUUUUACCAGCGAUGGAUCGGGAGCAACUUCCGUCCAGGGAGGAUCAAUUACCAAAGAACUGCAGCUCCAGGGAUGCCUGGGUGGCUCAGCAGUUGAGCGUCUGCCUUCAGCCCAGGCUGUGAUCCUGGGGUUCUGGGGUGGAGUCCCCCAGCCAGCUCCCUGAAUGGAGCCUGCUU
rnacentral:lncRNA from 1 species